GAAAGAAUAGAAAGGAGAAAGAACAGAAUAGAAACAGAGAAAGAAACAGAGAGCAAAACGGGCAGAGAAGGAAGAAAGGAAAGAAAGAAAGAAAGAAAAAGAAAAAGGGAAAUUUCAGGUUUUAAGGUUCCAAGCUCAAUUGCUAAUGUCGUGUACGAGUCAUUGUCCGAGAAAGGAAAGGAGAAGGUGGACAAGGAUUGACUCGGGAGAAAUUUCGAUUGUCAGAAAUUAUGCAAUCGGUUGGAUCCCGUCGGAGCUCACACUAUCCUCUUAAUGACUUGGUAGACUUUUGAUCGUUCUAGCUCGGUUAUAAGUGGCAUGUAAAUAGGUGUAGUUGGAUAGAUGUUUAUAGGAGAUUUGAGGCUUUUAUUUUGGUCUCCUUGAUGUGUAUUUUGAGGUCAGUCGAACUUUGUAAAUAUAUGUGUUAUGUGGUGCUUUGAAUAUGCUUAAAUGGUUAAGUGAUGACUCUUUAAUAUGGAAAUGGUAUGGUUGUUGAAUAUGAUUUAAUGUGAUAGCA